rnacentral:lncRNA from 1 species
UCCUUCACAUCCCUUUAUUUGUAACUUUUUAGAUUAUUACAGCAUUCUUCCCACCUAGAUAGCUUCCAAUAGGAUUAGGUCUCUUAUAGCCUUCAUUUUGAUCUGCGACAUCGUUAAAAUUUCUCCCCGAUAUUCUCUUUUUCGAUCUCUUUUUUCAUUAAAAAAGCAUCCCUCUGAUAAAGAUUGAUGGUAGUUCUCCCCUUGAUUAAGUGCAAGAUCGUAGUUGAUCUUCCAUCUUCGGUCUAUAGUUAGAAGGAUAGGUUCUUUUUUGUUUCUUCAAACCAAUCCUAUGGGUUUAAAAUCAUCUGAGAUAAACCACGGUUAGGGCCGAAUUAUAGGAAAGAUCCAUCAGAAGUAGACU